rnacentral:lncRNA from 1 species
UCGAUGCAUAUAACUAUGGGAAAGUACACAAAGCUCUUUCCUUGGCUUCAAGUUGUUCAUUAUCCCAUAUGAUGUCCUUCAAGGCAUUUAUUAGUUCAAAUGCAUGUCAAUUGCUUUAUUGAUUGUUUGACAGCACAGACCAGUAUUUUUAAACUCCCAGCGAUUUGGGGGCAAUUGGCCUGUCGGAGGUAAUAGAUCUCUACGCUAGUUUGAUGUCUUUCGAGUAGUAUUUUGUGAACGACAUUAUAAGUUAUGAUUCGAUUAUUUGCAAUAAUAAUUUGAAGCAUCUUGAUCAUACAAGAUGUCACAAGUUGUAUGCUUGAUGAUUCGAGUAUAGUGAAAUACAAUUUCUGAUAUGAUCAAUAUAUAUCAUUCGUGAUAUUAUUAUUGUGAACAGUUUAACCAUAACUCACAUGUCAUUCAUAAAAU